UACGAGAGGCGCAAACGUUAUUCGGAUUUACUGGGCUUAAAGCGUUCGUAGGCGGCGCAGCAAGUCGGGUGUGAAAGCCCUCGGCUCAACCGAGGAAUUGCGCUCUAAACUACUGUGCUUGAGGAAGCUAGAGGUGAGCGGAACUGAUGGUGGAGCGGUGAAAUGCGUUGAUAUCAUCAGGAACACCGGAGGCGAAGGCGGCUCACUGGGGCUUAUCUGACGCUGAGGAACGAAAGCCAGGGGAGCGAACGGG
rnacentral:rRNA from 1 species